rnacentral:rRNA from 1 species
CCUACGGGUGGCAGCAGUGGGGAAUAUUGCGCAAUGGUCGAAAGCCUGACGCAGCGACGCCGCGUGAGGGAUGAAGGUCUUCGGAUCGUAAACCUCUGUCAGCAGGGAAGCACGGUCACUGUGCUAAUCAGCAGUGAAUUGACGUUACCUGCAAAGGAAGCACCGGCUAACUCCGUGCCAGCAGCCCCGGUAAUACGGAGGGGGCGAGCGUUAAUCGGAAUUACUGGGCGUAAGGCGCUCGUAGGCGGUAUGUCAAGUCAAGGGGGAAAUCCCCGCGGCCAACGUGGGAACUGCCUUUGAAACUGGCAAACUGGAGUGUGAGAGAGGAUAGUGGAAU